AUUGCUUCUUGGCCUUUUGGCUAAGAUCAAGUGUAAAGUCUUAAAAUAUAUGAGAAUAUGUACUGACUUCUAACUAGUGCAGCCCCAGUCUAGAGUCCUAGAGAUGGAUUGUUCAGUGGUUUCCAGUAAGCAGUUUAGCCUGCAGACCACUCCCAGCU
rnacentral:snRNA from 1 species